rnacentral:lncRNA from 10 species
CCGGUAUCCAGGCUCUCCCAGAGCGGCACUUUAGCUGGCCAAGGCCUGGAGCAGAGUGUGUGCAGCGCUCCCACGGCCGCCUGCCCGGGCCUGCCCCCGACACAUGCUUAGUGGAAUUCUCCCGUGGCAGCCCAGAGUCUCCGGAACGAAGGUCUCCACAGCCAAAGCCACGCAAGAGGCUCUCCUGCUCUCAUUUCCAGACGCACCCUCAUCCUUGGCCUCUCCCUGCCUCAGUUCUCUUUGACUCCUCCGGUCCUUGUUGCUGCUCAGCUCCAGGGCACCCCCACCUCCCAGGACAAGUCCCCUGACUUUACAGCUUACAGGCCCAGAAUAACAGAUGGCCAGAGGCAUCCCAUUCAAGACUCCCCGCCUCCUUCCUAGCUCCUCAGUCUCUCCCACCCCAAUGUGGUGGUGCCCAGGGAGGGGGUCAGGAAACCACAGAGGGCCUGUGGGAGGCGUACAGCUGGGGACAAGCGUGGGCUGGAAGAGGAGCCCAGUCUGUAGCUGAGACUCCCAGGGCCUCAUGACCUUCCAGGCAGCCUCCACCGCUGCUAUGACAGGCAGAUGCCCGACUUUCCACCUGCUUUCUGACCUGGCUUUGGCAAGGCCUGAGCACCUGGCCUGCUUUCCCAGGAGUACAGUUACAGCAGCUGAUCUAGGGAACAGGUGUGGGCUCCGUGUCACAGCUGCUGCUGAGCACAUCUGUACCCACAGUGAGGAGGCUGCAGCUGCAGCAGGGCCUGUCAGUCACUCAUACUCUCCCCGGAGUUGGGCUGGGGGCACUGAAAGGGCCAGGGGUGGAGAGAAUCUGAGAUAAGCAUUCACAGAGCACCUUGCUCCUAGAGAUCCCAAAGUGUGACCCCUGACAAGGUUUUCCCACAGUCAGCCUCACUGGCACCAGCAGCGUGGGAAUUAGGGCUGGAUUCUCCCCUUCUGCCUUGCUUCCCAGCCCUUGGGCCACAGUCAGCUCCUCCUCCUUCCUGGCUAGCUCAGCUCAGCUUUUGCAGGAUGGAACUCUGAAUCCUGGCUUCCAGUGGCUCUCCCAGAAAACUAGGAGGGAAGUGCUUGGAAGAAUGGCUCUUUAUUCAUGCAAAUGAUUUCUUGCCAUUUAAGAGCCUCAAACCACAAAAUCAAUUAAAGAGAAAAGGGGAAGAUUUGGGGGUCUGUGCCAGCCACUGGAUGCAAUGCUUUACCUCCAUCAUCUUAUCAAAUCUUCCCAGCAACCCUACUGCAUAGCUAUUAUCAAGAUCAUUUCUGUUUCCCAGAGGAGAAUUCAAGGUUACACAGUUAGGAUGCAGUGAAUCUGGGAUUUGAUUGCCGUCCUGACUCCAAAGCUUGCACUCUGACCACUGGGCCACACUGCCUCAAAUCUCCCAUUCUCUGUUAAAUCCAACAUCUGAGCCCCAUUCUUUCUCCCUUGCAGGGAAUCACCUGCCUACCUCCACCUCAUCCAUUUCUCACCACAGCUGGAUUCACCUCUACAGCCUUUACCUCCAGUCGUAUUUGGCAAUUCAUCCUUUUCCAGCUCCUAUCAUCCUCCCCUACCCUCACCAAAGUGGACAUCGCAGCCUCUAAAUCUGAACGGAGCUGACACCUAGCACCCACCCUCUCACCAGCUACCUCUGGGUUCCCCCACCCGGUAUUCCCUUCCUCACAUCCAAGCCUGUUCCCCUCAGGCCCUGUCAUGGCCUGAAAUAGUCUUUGCCCCUGUCUACCACUCUCCAGGGUCCCUCUUGACACCUACUUCUGCUUUCCCCUCUCAAGACACCUUUUCUUGGCAUUUUAAGACUAUUUACUGACUAUUUAUUGAUAUAGGAAAAUGCUUACAGAAUGUAUUAGGAGUAUCUUACACUUUUUUAAUAAUUAUGUAUGUAAUACAUGAAUAGAUUCUCCUUGUAAAAAACAAACUCAAACACACAGAAAAAGUUAAUGACUCCCUUGAUGACUGCCAGUUUGAAGUGUUUUUCCAGACCUUAAAAAAAUAUACUUUCAUACAAGCAUAUGUACAUAUAGAAAGAUAUACUUUAAUGGGGCAUCUUUCAUCAUAAAUUGGAUCAUAAUGUGCAAAUUGUUUCACAACUUUUAUUCUCUGUUUGUUUUCAGACAGGGUCUCACUUUGUUGCCCAGGCUGGAGUGCAAUGGCACAAUCAUGGCUCACUGCGCCCUCCACCUCCCAGGCUCAAGCCAUCCUCCUAUCUCAGCCUCCUGAGUAGUUGAGACAACAGGCAUGUGCCACCAUGUCUGGCUAAUAUUUUAAUAAAAUUUUUUGUAGAGACAGGUUCUCCAUAUGUUGCCCAGGCUUUGAUUCUUCUAAUGCUCGGUAUUAAGACUCUAUGACUGUGUAUUAUACAUAGAGUUUACAUGUGAGUAAGUUCUGGGUGGAGAGACACUAUUCCUUGCUAGGGCCUUAAGAGUCUGGCUGCAGCUCUGCUAUCACAUGGGCAAAACCAGCUACAUAAUUUACAAGAUCCAGUGCAAAAUAAAAAUGUGACAUUUCUUGUUAAAAAUCAUUGUGAAUUUCAAGAUGGCAACAACAAAGCAUUAAACCAAGCAGGGGGCCUUUCUAAGCUUGAGCCCCCGUGUGACUGCACAGGUCAUAUGCCCAUGAAGCUGGCUCUGCAGAGACUAGCUGACCGUUGGACUGGCUGUGUCCUGGAUUCUUUUAGUUAAUGCAUUCCGUGUUCUGACAAUGGACAUUCCUGUCUCAGCCUCCACAUUGGAUCUGGUCCCCUGAUUCUGCACCCAACAUUCCUCAGCCACAUUCCCUGCUCCAAAGCCAGAGCUCUAUGUAUUCCAGCACAAGCAAAGUCCCAGGGUCCAUGCCUGCCAGUCAGCAUUGCUCUGGAGGCACCCACAAAGAUGGCAAAGAUGGGGGGUGAAGGGGGUAUUGGACAAUGAUAUUCCUGUGCCUCGAGUGGAAAGUCUCUCAGGAGAUAAGAGAGGACUGAAGUACCAACCAAGAAACCCGGGUUUCAUUCCCAGCUCUGCCACUAAAUUUACUGUGUCCUUAAUUGGCAAGUUGCUUAACAUCUUGGCACUGUUAUCUCUUUAUCUGUUAAAGGAGAGAGUUUGAUUAGAUUGUCUUUAAGACCAUUCCCACUUCCAGCUCUAAAAGUCUGUAUUUAAGUGACUCUAAGAGACUGUAAUAAUAAUAGAUAACAUUUGUUGACCAUUACCUUAUGCCAUUUACAUGUUGAUUUAAUGCUCAUAACAACCGUAUGAGGCAGGCACUGUUAUUCCCAUUUUACAGUUGAGAAAAUUGAGACUCAGUUUAAAACAUGCAUGGGGAACAAGGUAGCUUUUUGGGGUGGUGGAAAUGUUCUAAAACUUGGUUCUGGUCAUGGCUGCAGAACUCUGUAGAUUUAGAGUUGUAUAUUUCGAGUGGGUGAAUUUUAUAAUAUGUAAAUUGUACCUCAAUAAAGCUGUUGAAAAGAAAUAA